UGUGCCUAUAUAUCACCAUUUUCCAUCACCAUUUAUUAUAAUUACAGGUAUCAGUUACAACAUGAUUCUUCUGCCAGGCACUGUGCCAAGUUUAGAAGUAGGACUCAGAAAACAUCAUUACAUUUUCAAAACAACCCUCUCAGCUGUCCUCCUCAUCUCCAAAUUGGGGCAAGGGGGAGUGCACAAUAACACUACCCACACUUACCAUCCAGAAAUGUUUACUUUCUUUGUUUUCUUGCUGCUGCAACCCUUCCAGUGUUUAUUCUCUAGGUCCACAUCUUGUGUGUGUAUCAUUCUCUCUCCCUUUCCGUAUCACUGGACAUAGCCACAAGCUCCUCUUGGGUUGCCAAAACAUUCCAUGAAAAAAAUCUCUCACUAGUUCAUAUAAUAUUGAUUUUUCUUUUACAUUUAUACUGCUGCCCUCUUCCAUGAAACAAUCAUCACCUUGAGGGCAGAAUCUGUGACUCUUUUCUUUGUAUCCUAGGGUGUGUCUGAUUUCAUACUUCCGGUACCUUGAAGUGCUUUUGGUGCGUAGGAAUUAUACAAGGAAACUGAGCAUUUGAUGAGCUCACGGACAAUAAAUACAGGUGCUGUGGUUCUUGUGAACUGUGUGCUGAAAUGAAAUAGC
rnacentral:lncRNA from 1 species